rnacentral:rRNA from 1 species
CAUGGUGGAACUAUUAAAGAAUUUCGGUCAUCGAUGGGGAUGCGUUCCAUUAGGUUGUUGGCGGGGUAACGGCCCACCAAGCCUUCGAUGGAUAGGGGUUCUGAGAGGAAGGUCCCCCACAUUGGAACUGAGACACGGUCCAAACUCCUACGGGAGGCAGCAGUGAGGAAUAUUGGUCAAUGGACGAGAGUCUGAACCAGCCAAGUAGCGUGAAGGAUGACUGCCCUAUGGGUUGUAAACUUCUUUUAUACGGGAAUAAAGUGAGGCACGUGUGCCUUUUUGUAUGUACCGUAUGAAUAAGGAUCGGCUAACUCCGUGCCAGCAGCCGCGGUAAUACGGAGGAUCCGAGCGUUAUCCGGAUUUAUUGGGUUUAAAGGGAGCGUAGGCGGACGCUUAAGUCAGUUGUGAAAGUUUGCGGCUCAACCGUAAAAUUGCAGUUGAUACUGGGUGUCUUGAGUACAGUAGAGGCAGGCGGAAUUCGUGGUGUAGCGGUGAAAUGCUUAGAUAUCACGAAGAACUCCGAUUGCGAAGGCAGCUUGCUGGACUGUAACUGACGCUGAUGCUCGAAAGUGUGGGUAUCAAACAGGAUUAGAUACCCUGGUAGUCCACACAGUAAACGAAGAAGACUCGCUGUUUGCGAUAUACAGUAAGCGGCCAAG